rnacentral:rRNA from 1 species
CCCUUAGAUGUUCUGGGCCGCACGCGCGCUACACUGAUGCAACCAGCAAGUCUCCUGGGCCGACAGGUCUGGGCAAUCUUCUGAAACUGCAUCGUGCUGGGGCUUGACGAUUGCAAUUGUUCGUCACCAACGAGGAAUUCCUAGUAAGCGCAAGUCAUCAGCUUGCAUUGAUUACGUCCCUGCCCUUUGUACACACCGCCCGUCGCUUCUACCGAUUGAGCGUUACAGUGAAUGAUCAGGAUCCGCGAGCUCGUCGGGCGACCGCACUUGUUCCUGGAGAAUCUUUGUGAACUGCACCGCUUAGAGGAAGAAGAAGUCGUAACA